UACGGUAGGGUGCAGGCGUUAAUCGGAAUUACUGGGCGUAAAGCGUGCGCAGGCGGUCUUUUAAGUCAGAUGUGAAAUCCCCGGGCUUAACCUGGGAACUGCAUUGGUGACUGCAUUGCUAGAGUAUGGCAGAGGGGGUGGAAUUCCACGUGUAGCAGUGAAAUGCGUAGAGAUGUGGAGGAACACCGAUGGCGGAAGGCAGCCCCCUGGGCCAAUACUGACGCUCGAU
rnacentral:rRNA from 1 species